UACGAAGGAUCCUAGCGUUGUCCGGAUUUACUGGGCUUAAAGGGAGCGUAGGCGGACUUUUAAGUCAGUGGUGAAAGCUUGCAGCUUAACUGUAAAAUUGCCAUUGAAACUGAAAGUCUCGAGUGCGGUUGAGGUCACUGGAAUGUAUCAUGUAGCGGUGAAAUGCUUAGAUAUGAUACAGAACACCGAUUGCGAAGGCAGGUGACUAAGCCGUAACUGACGCUGAGGCUCGAAAGCGUGGGGAGCGAACAGG
rnacentral:rRNA from 1 species